rnacentral:rRNA from 1 species
UGGGGAAUAUUGGACAAUGGGCGCAAGCCUGAUCCAGCCAUGCCGCGUGAGUGAUGAAGGCCUUAGGGUUGUAAAGCUCUUUCGCGCGCGACGAUAAUGACGGUAGCGCGAGAAGAAGCCCCGGCUAACUUCGUGCCAGCAGCCGCGGUAAUACGAAGGGGGCUAGCGUUGUUCGGAAUCACUGGGCGUAAAGCGCAUGCAGGCGGAUCGUUAAGUCGGGGGUGAAAUCCCGAGGCUCAACCUCGGAACUGCCUUCGAUACUGGCUAGCUUGAGUCCGGGAGAGGUGAGUGGAACUGCGAGUGUAGAGGUGAAAUUCGUAGAUAUUCGCAAGAACACCAGUGGCGAAGGCGGCUCACUGGCCCGGUACUGACGCUCAGGUGCGAAAGCGUGGGGAGCAAAC